GACGAACGCUGGCGGCGUGCCUAAUACAUGCAAGUUGAGCGAUGAAGAUUGGUGCUUGCACCAAUUUGAAGAGCAGCGAACGGGUGAGUAACGCGUGGGGAAUCUGCCUUUGAGCGGGGGACAACAUUUGGAAACGAAUGCUAAUACCGCAUAACAACUUUAAACAUAAGUUUUAAGUUUGAAAGAUGCAAUUGCAUCACUCAAAGAUGAUCCCGCGUUGUAUUAGCUAGUUGGUGAGGUAAAGGCUCACCAAGGCGAUGAUACAUAGCCGACCUGAGAGGGUGAUCGGCGACAUUGGGACUGAGACACGGCCCAAACUCCUACGGGAGGCAGCAGUAGGGAAUCUUCGGCAAUGGACGAAAGUCUGACCGAGCAACGCCGCGUGAGUGAAGAAAGUUUUCGGAUCGUAAAACUCUGUUGGUAGAGAAGAACGUUGGUGAGGGUGGAAAGCUCAUCAAGUGACGGUAACUACCCAGAAAGGGACGGCUAACUACGUG
rnacentral:rRNA from 1 species